rnacentral:rRNA from 1 species
GAUAGGGGGUGCUCAGCGCCCGACCUCCAACCCUUUGUUGUUAAAACUACCUUGUUGCUUUGGCGGGACCGCUCGGUCUCGAGCCGCUGGGGAUUCGUCCCAGGCGAGCGCCCGCCAGAGUUAAACCAAACUCUUGUUAUUUAACCGGUCGUCUGAGUUAAAAUUUUGAAUAAAUCAAAACUUUCAACAACGGAUCUCUUGGUUCUCGCAUCGAUGAAGAACGCAGCGAAAUGCGAUAAGUAAUGUGAAUUGCAGAAUUCAGUGAAUCAUCGAAUCUUUGAACGCACAUUGCGCCCCUUGGUAUUCCGAGGGGCAUGCCUGUUCGAGCGUCAUUACACCACUCAAGCUAUGCUUGGUAUUGGGCGUCGUCCUUAGUUGGGCGCGCCUUAAAGACCUCGGCGAGGCCACUCCGGCUUCAGGCGUAGUAGAAUUUAUUCGAACGUCUGUCAAAGGAGAGGAACUCUGCCGACUGAAACCUUUAUUUUUCUAGGUUGACCUCGGAUCAGGUAGGGAUACCCGCUGAACUUAAGCAUAUCAAUAAGCGGAGGAAAGGAUCAUUAAAGAGUAAGGGUGCUCAGCGCCCGACCUCCAACCCUUUGUUGUUAAAACUACCUUGUUGCUUUGGCGGGACCGCUCGGUCUCGAGCGCUGGGGAUUCGUCCGGGAGCCCAAUUAAACAAUGUAUUUAACCGGGAUUAAAAUUUUGAAUAAAUCAAAACUUUCAAGAUCUCUUGGAUCUCAUCAUGAAGACGCAAAUGCAUAGUAAUGGUGAUGAUCUGAAUCAUAUCUUGACGCAUGGCUUGGAUCGAGGGAUGCUGAGAUACCAUCUACGUGAAUAGGCUCUAUGGCGUACACAGCAGCUGGCUGAUAUCCACUGCAGAGAUCUCGCACAUUCUGAGCUACGAGUAGCUACUAUCAUCAGGAAGGAGAGGAACUCUGCCGACUGAAACCUUUAUUUUCUAGGUGACCUCGGAUCAGGCGGC